ACGGGGUGCAGCAGGCGCGAAACCUUUGCAAUGUGCGAAAGCACGACAAGGUUAAUCCGAGUGAUUUCUGCUAAAGAAACCUUUUGUCAGUCCUAGAAACACUGAUGAAUAAGGGGUGGGCAAGUUCUGGUGUCAGCCGCCGCGGUAAAACCAGCACCUCGAGUGGUCAGGAGGUUUAUUGGGCCUAAAGCAUCCGUAGCCGGUUGCAUAAGUUUUCGGUUAAAUCUAUGCGCUCAACGUAUAGGCCGCCGAAAAUACUGUGCAGCUAGGGAGUGGGAGAGGUACACGGUACUCAAUAGGAAGGGGUAAAAUCCUUUGAUCUAUUGAUGACCACCUGUGGCGAAGGCGGUGUACCAGAACACGUUCGACGGUGAGGGAUGAAAGCUGGGGGAGCAAACCGGAUUAGAUACCCGGGUAGUCCCAGCUGUAAACGAUGCAGACUCGGUGAUGCAUUGGCUUGUGGCCAAUGUAGUGCCGCAGGGAAGCCGUUAAGUCUGCCGCCUGGGAAGUACGUACGCAAGUAUGAAACUUAAAGGAAUUGGCGGGGGAGCAC
rnacentral:rRNA from 2 species